rnacentral:tRNA from 1 species
AAGGCUUUAGCUUAAUUAAAGUGUCUGUUUUGCAUGCAGGAGAUGUGAGUUAGUGUCUUGCAAGUCUUA